rnacentral:rRNA from 1 species
UACGAAGGGGGCUAGCGUUGCUCGGAAUUACUGGGCGUAAAGGGCGCGUAGGCGGCCUUCUAAGUCGAACGUGAAAUCCCCGGGCUCAACCCGGGAACUGCGUCCGAUACUGGGAGGCUUGAAUCCGGGAGAGGGAUGUGGAAUUCCAGGUGUAGCGGUGAAAUGCGUAGAUAUCUGGAGGAACACCGGUGGCGAAGGCGGCAUCCUGGACCGGUAUUGACGCUGAGGCGCGAAAGCCAGGGGAGCAAACGGG